UAUGCCUUGCCCAGUGCGCCGAACGACUUGCCGACUUGGAGACUUCAGAAUACGAGAAUACAAUAAACAUAGGCCUUGUUUAGUUCACAAAAAUUUUCAAGAUUUCCCGUCACAUCGAAUCUUCGGUUGCAUGCAUAGAGCAUUAAAUAUAAAUGAAAAUAAAAACUAAUUACACAGUUUACCUGUAAUUUGUGAGAUGAAUCUUUUGAGCCUAGUUACACUUUGUUUCGACAAUGUUUGUCAAAUAAAAACAAAAGUGCUACAGUAGCCAAAACCGAAAAUUUCUACGAACUAAACAAGGCCAUAGAUUAUAUAAGAACCUACACAAACAAGCAGCGCUGUACCUGCGACGAUAGGAAAGAAGACAUCCAUGCCAGUACUCCACAGCCAAAAAAUUCCACGUAUUCACUGUUCAAAGAUAUUUAUUGGAACGCACGCAAGAGUCAUGCAACACUCAAAACAAAUCGGCAAACAAGCCACCAGUAUUUUAUGCCAUGCGACAAAAUAGUCGCUCUUCACGCGCAUAACAGCAAACACAUGAUUUGGUGCAUAUUUAGUUAAAUUUAAGAUUAAUUGACUCCUCAUCAAAUGCGUUUCUUCUUUU
rnacentral:lncRNA from 1 species